CACAGCUGUCCUGACCACCUUCCCAGCUUUCACUGAAAAAGCUCUUUUUCUCCUUGGGCUGGGUCCUCUCUGCUGCUACCUCCACCAUUCUGAUCUUCAUUCCCAAGCCCUUCAGCCAGACAUCAGAAUUUCUCCUUGCACAGUCAUAUUACAACUCUUGGAGAAUUAAGACAUUUGGGAAGAGUUCCAUAGCUUCUCCUGACCUUCCAAGGAGGCACCAAGGUAGAAAGAGCACAAACUUUGGACACAAAAUAAUCUGGAUUUAAGUCCUAUCUCUGCUGCUUUCAGGCAAGAUCGUUUCUUCCUCUGAGCCUUAGUUUGCUUACUCAUAAAAUGAGCAUAAUAGCUCUCCUUUUUGUCUGGGACUUUUAGUUGCAAGUGACAUAAACCCAAUUCAAAUGGGCUUAAUCCAAAAACAAAGUGGGAAAUC
rnacentral:lncRNA from 1 species